CAAUAGCGUAUAUUAAAGUUGUUGCAGUUAAAAAGCUCGUAGUUGGAUUUCUGAUCGAGACAUCAGGUCGGGUCCGAGAGGAUCAUGUACUUUGAUUUUGUUUUGAUCAUCCUUGGGGAGAGCAUUUCUGGCAUUCAGUUGUCGGGAUUGGGAUCCUCAUCGUUUACUGUGAAAAAAUUAGAGUGUUCAAAGCAGGCCUCGGCCUCUGAAUACAUUAGCAUGGAAUAAUAAGAUAGGACUUUGGUGGUCUAUUUUGUUGGUUUGCGCGCCAAAGUAAUGAUUAAUAGGGAUAGUUGGGGGUAUUCGUAUUCAAUUGUCAGAGGUGAAAUUCUUGGAUUUAUGGAAGACGAACUACUGCGAAAGCAUUUACCAAGGAUGUUUUCAUUAA
rnacentral:rRNA from 1 species